AUACUUACCUGGCAAGGGAGAAACCAUGAUCAGGAAGGUGGUUUUCCCAGGGUGAGGCUCACACAUUGCACUUGGGGUGUCCUGACCCCUGCCAUUUCCCCAAAUGCAGGAAACUCGAUAGCAUAAUUUGUGGUAGUUGGGGAGCUGUGUCCGUGUGUUCCCCUG